rnacentral:rRNA from 1 species
GACGUAGGGCGCGAGCGUUGUCCGGAUUUAUUGGGCGUAAAGAGCUCGUAGGCGGUCUGUCACGUCGGAUGUGAAAACUCGGGGCUCAACCCCGAGCCUGCAUACGAUACGGGCAGACUUGAGUUCGGCAGGGGAGACUGGAAUUCCUGGUGUAGCGGUGAAAUGCGCAGAUAUCAGGAGGAACACCAGCGGCGAAGGCGGCGCUCUGGGCCGGUACUGACACUGAGGAGCGAAAGCGUGGGUAGCAAACAGG